rnacentral:rRNA from 1 species
ACGAAGGGGGCUAGCGUUGUUCGGAAUUACUGGGCGUAAAGGGCGCGUAGGCGGUCUUGUAAGUCAGGCGUGAAAGGCCCGGGCUCAACCUGGGGACUGCGCUUGAUACUGCGAGGCUUGAAUCCGGGAGAGGAUGGCGGAAUUCCCAGUGUAGAGGUGAAAUUCGUAGAUAUUGGGAAGAACACCGGUGGCGAAGGCGGCCAUCUGGACCGGUAUUGACGCUGAGGCGCGAAAGCGUGGGGAGCAAACAGGA